ACGCGACGAGGGGCUCGACGGAGAGCGAACAAGCCGGCGCGAUCGAGGGAGAGAACGCGCGAGGCACGAGGGAGAAGGAGUGAGAGAGCCGGAGCGUUGCGUGGGGAGCGAUCGCAGCUCGUCAUUCGAAGCCCGCCAACGGACGAGCGAGCAGCCACGGAACGGGACCGCGAUUGAGGGAACCCACGCGAUUCUCGCGGUACGAAAAGGAAGAAACGAAAGAGAGAGAGAUAAGGGAGCAACACGCGAUCGGUGUAGCGGCUGAGCGAGGAGAGUAAGUUACGCGGGAGAGGAGUUUACGAUCGCGCUCGCUCGCUCGCCGAGAGGGAAUUCCGCGGGGUUGUAAGUUCGCUCGUCGUGACAUUCGCGCGUUCGGUCUUCGGUCGAGUCGAACGAAGCGCUCGGUUCGCGCUUCGGUCAGCUUCGGUCGCGAUCGGAUCGGCUGCAGUGCCCGCCGCGGUGCAAGUCUCGCGUGUUUUCGAUAGCGGAAAGAGGAAAGAGAAAGAGGAAGAAAGUGUGAGAGAUAGUGGGGAAUGCAUUGACAGAACAAGUGAGAAAGAAAUCGGUAGGGAAGGAUAGCAAGAGAGAAAGAGAAGGAGAGAGAGAGAGAGAGUAAAAGAGGUGCUGACGACGAGGUGGUGGAAGCAAAACGAAAUUGUUGACAGUGAUAAAAAGUGACUCGUAUCCCGCGCCUCAGGAUAUCGUCGACCCACGCUCGAUUCGUCCUGAUAUAUCGUCAAGGUCGGAGCACGAGGAUUGACUGGAACAAUAUAUCGGAGAGCCUACGGCGAGACACCGAGGAGGACGAAGGGAAGAACGGGAGAGAAACACGAGGAGUGAAAGAAAUUGUCCUGUGAGAAUCGCUCUUACGCGUUUUUCGCGCGUGCGGUGAUAUCUGUGUGUGUGCGCGAAGAUUUUCGUGUCGCGAGCACCUGUCGAGGAUCCUGCUUCGAGAAUCGGUGUACCGCGACGAGAAAGUGGAACGCAUCCCCGUUGCACUUUCGGAGUGAUCAAGUGUCGCGUCAGCUAGCUGGCUCUACCGCCCAAUUCGCAGCGGCCGAAUUCUCGCGUGUGUGCGCGCGCGCGCGCGCGUCGUACCUCGACGUAUCGCUGAAUUCGCCGAAAUUCGGAGCGCUAUUGUUUCGGGCUCCCGCGAAGCUCGCCGUUAAGUGCGCACAGGUUCGGGCCAACCAUCUCAUCGCAGCUGCGAGUGUUCCCGCUGCACUUGGUACGCACGUACGUGCACUUGGCGCGACGAGCGUACCGAAAACCGCACCGACUCGCUCGCUCGUCGCCGUUGCUCUCGCGAUCGCACGCGAUUUACGGAGACGAAUUGAGAAACAGGCCUGCUCCAUCGCGCGCGAGGAAGCAACCGCCAACUUUGAUUUGCUGAAAGCUGAUUCGCCAGUCCCACUUGCGGCUAACGUCACGGCUAACGACGAACUGGGACGACGAGGAACCGCGGCUAACUUCCGACUGACCACGGCGGUGUCGGAAGGAAGUCGCUUACUUUGCUCGCGAAGGCGAGAAUAAUCGCGCAUCCCGGUCGAGGUUGCCGCUGGUGUGUUCUCUCUCGGAAAACAAUCGGAGCGGCACGGGGAUUGACGAUCGAGGGACGCACAAGUGAGAACCGCUACCGGAAAGGAUACGCGAAGUUGCGAUACACUGUGCGCGGGAGGUAAGUGAAUUAGUCGCGAGUGUGCCGUCGAUCUUACGUGACAUUCUCGCAUGUCGUGUAUUUAACAUUCGAUCAGUGUUCUUUUCUCGCGAGUGACGGAAGAAGAACGGAGGAACGACAGAUCAGUGCGAGCGGAAGGAAGGCAUUGCAUCGUUGUGUGCAUCGUCCUUACGCCUCCAUUGUUGUGUCGCGUAAAGUGAGGCUGCCGCGAUAUAUAUAUAUAUAUAUCGAUCUCGCAUUCCGUAACGACAGCGCCGUGACGAUCUCGAUUAGACGAGCACUUCAGUCGGCCGGUUUCGCCCUCGCGAACGUGAACCGCUCCAACGGUCAUCUCGCAUACAGUGAUACAUACAUAUAUACGCGUUAUUGUGUGCCCGCGUGCGCGUUCCCCCGUGCGUUCACAGGCUGACGAUCGACGUGCAUCCGUCGAUCGAUCGCGCGCGCGGUCAAUUCGGUGAAUCGGAGUUCCCGGAGUGCGUUCACACCUGCUCACGAGCGGGACGUGAUUCGCGCGCGACAGCACUGACGCAUCCGUGAUCAUCCGCGAGUACCGGCGCGAGUAUCGCAUCAUCGCCGGAAAAACACCGCUGUUUUCCGAGCACGUAAGCGUAAACGCGCGAUCGCUCUUUCGCCGGUCCUGCUCACGAUUUAUUUCGGAUCGGACGCGGUCGCGUCGCGCCGGCAGCCUCCGUACGUUCGUUCGCUCGUCUCGGGAAAGUCAAGCCCCGGGCCGGUGCUCACGUGACGAAGGUGCAGACGCUGCCUCCUCGGUCACUCGGAACAAGUGACCGACAGGACACACGUUUUUCUCGUGGAAGCGGUACGCAAACGGCCUCAAGAUUCAGCUCGACGUCAUGCCGUGGUUCAUCCUAUUUCUCCUGCUGCUGGCCGUGAUGGAGGCCUUCCCUCGGGAGGCCACCUGUUCCCGCCUGCCGGACAUCUACUGGAACUCCACCAAUCCAAUGUAAGUACCACAAUAUCUUUCGUGGACGCAGAGACGAUACGAGGCCUCUGAAUUCAAUUUUGUAAGUAAAUUCACAUAAUUAACAUAGCUUUGUGCGCGAGAUUGCGUUUUAAAAAGAUAUUUUAUUCUAAUUUGCCUCUUGUAUUUACUUAUAUUACGAUGUUAUGAUGAGUUUCCUUCUCUCUAUGACAAGUUGAGCAAUCAUCGCAUUGUAAAGAUAAUUUAGACAAGCAUUUUCGGAAGCACAUCUGUGAUUUGUCGCGGAAACUGAUUUCUCGUAGAAUUCUGCUUGUUUCGACCCCGUGUCGCUACAGUUCGCGAGCAGACGCAUUAAUUUUACCUUGCUUUCCCCGCUCGCCCGCGUUCUGACCAGCGCUGGGGAAUGGCGAAAUUUAUACGGAAAUAACGCGCCCGAAUAAAUUGCACACUUAAUUGUAAUUCUAAAGCCUUGCCCUCUCGGGCGCGACCCGCACGUGAUACAUUUUUAAUACCGCAGGACAUCAAUCUCGCAUUAGUCCCCACUUGUACGUGCAAAAAAGCGGGAGUGCUUCUUGGAAGAUCUAGAAUUACGUGACAUGUAACGACCAUUGCUCUCAUUUAUUCCUUUUCUUACAUUCCGCUCACUCUACUCUCUCGCCCUCGUGCCCCACAAUGCCGGCAUGAAAGCAGUGAAGAACAUGUACUUUAUGGGUCUUAGAUUGCGGCAGAAAGUAAAAUGGGACAUUUCCUUCCUGCGGGUAUCUUGACUGUCGUUAGCAGCAAUCUGACGUGGGUGCGUUACGUGUACUGGUAUAGAUAAAUACGCGAACAGAUAUUCCAACCGAUUAACGGAGAAAUAUUUAGUAUACCCGAACGAUCUAAUUUUUCAAGAUCGUUGCACUUGAUGCAAAAUGAUUUAUUUGCGCGCGUUGAAAAAUCGAAGGGGUCAACGGUAAAAAAAGUUUGAAAGUCUUUUGCAUAAAAGUGCCGUUAACGUUGCAUAGAUGACAAAAUUGAUUUAUAAAUGCAAUAAUUUACGGUGGACGCGGCGAGCAAAUCGAUAUUUAACCGUAGCGAUAGUCACCUCGUUAUCCACACGAGUUUGCAGUCGGCGCACGAAACGGUCGGCUCUGCUGCAAAAUGUAAAAAAGCGAUCGCACAGUCACCGAUUGUUCCGAUAACUUGGUAGUAUGAGCUACCUGCUGCGGGACGAAGGGAUCGAAUCGGUGAGUGCCGCGCACUCCGACGCGCUAAUUACGAUUCCGACACGGAGGACACGUAUAUACGAACGGUAGCGAAAUCGCGCCGCGCCUCGCCGAACAUUAUUAAAAGUCUACGCUUUUACGAUCCUACGCGCGAGACCCUUUCUCCCUUCCGGCCCGCCCUCGACUUUAAUCAGCGCGCCGAGCAGAUAUGCGUAAAUUAUUGGCGAGAGAUGGAGCGGACUUACAAGCGGGUACUCGUACAUUUGGAAUUUCCGCCCUUCGACGCGCAUAUCGCGCGACGUUCGUUCGUUUGCGCGGCACUCGCAGACGUGAUUAUCAUUUCGAGUAUUUUCUGAUUAGAGCUCUAUCUACUUUGAUUAAACGUUUGUGAGCUGUAGUCCAUGCUACACGCUAUAUAAAGCGACGCGAGGUAAUGACUGCGUACACACAAUGUUGAAAUCGUGGUAUUACAUUCGUAAAGCGCAGCUUCAUAGUUCGAACGAGUAAAUUGAGAGCUCCCGUAGAUUAACCCGGAAGCGUAAACGCGUACCAUCAUUUCCAAGCGCCUAGACGUAGACUAUACGCUAGUGUAAUACGAGAGGGCGCAAAAAGGAGGAUACUGCAGCACAACACAGAAGAACAUUAUGAAGGCGAAUAAAUAUGUAUGCGUCCCGAGGAUGCUCAAGCGAGUGUUCAAAGCGGGAAGCGAGGGGAGACGGGCUCGCAGGGGUGGCCUGCGGGAAGAUAAAGGGCGGUCGAGAAGUAAGAAUUCGAUUAUCUCGGCGGAUGCUCGAACUUCUCUCGGAUUUCCUGGCGCGGAUAAUGGAGCACUCUUUGAAGAAAGCUUUCGCGCGCGCGACCGGGAUACCCGGUCGCUGCUGUUCUCUCUUUCUUCUGCCUUUCCUCUUACGCAUCCACUUCCUCUCGCUUGCGCGCGCGCGCGCUACCUGUUUCCGUCUUCUUCUCCUCUUUUGCGCGGGAUUUCUCGUUCGUUUCAUCGAAUGAAAAUUCAAAGCUGUCGCGGACGAAAGAGAGGAGACGUAACCAUGGAUAGACAAUGACGACGGGAAGGAUUCGUGCCGCGCGCGCGCGAGGUGAUGAACAGAGAGGGUGCGAUGCGCCCUCCCUGAGUCGAUGCCCCUCACGACACAACCGGGCGCAUCCACAACGCCCAACGCGGCUCGGGCGAGUUUUUUAGCGGGUAAGAAUUCCGCACACCGCCGCCUCCCUGUCCCCGGGGGCGGCCGGUCUUUUUGAAGAUUUCUCUCCCCCACCAAAAAAAAAGAAGAGUGCGAUGCGCCCAAAGCGGGGAACAAUACCAGAAAUUUUAGCCAACGGUCAAAAGAGAGAGAGAGAGACAGAUUGCCAUAGAGAGAAGGGAGAGAGAGAGAGAGAGAGAGAGAGAGAGACUUGUGAGAGAUAGAAAGGCUCCACACAAGAUAAAGGACCCGGAAUUUCAGGGCGGUACAUCUGUCAGUCUCUUCGCGUGGCUUUUGGCUCGGACUGUGAAUUCGGCUUUUAACGUACGUUGAAUCGCCCUGUCGCGUCGCCAGGGUGAUCGAGCACGCGUCUUUACGAGCGACGUGAGCACCACGUGCGAGACAACACGCGGUAAGCGUUGCGUUAAACUCCGCCGCAUUUUCCAGCACGUGUUUAUGAACCGUGAUUCGCUAAUUUAUUUUUACCCGUGUCGCUGUGGUUUAGUUUGUUAAGGUUUAUUAAAAAUAAUCUGUACGCGCGAACCAUUUUGCAUUCGUAUAUUUUUUUAUAAAUUAUAUUUAUAUUCAAUACUUCUGAAUACCGCGAUUAAAUUUGUGUAAUUCGUGCAAAUUUGUGCUCGUUGAUUUGUGUUGAUUGUUGGCAAUUAAUACUCACAAAUAGAUAGUUUUUUUCAUUUCUAUUCGCUUAUUGAGCCUUCUGUUUUGAAAAGCAACGUUUGCAUUGUUCAUUAUUGAUGAAAAAUAUUAUUUGCAGCUUUUUGCCCGAGUAGAAAAAUUCCACCGUAACAUUAUGUAUUUACGUUAUGCACUAUUUGAAAGAAUUCCGCCGUCAAACGCGCACGAGGAGAGAAAGAAAUUUUUUGUCUGAAGCCUAUAUGUCGUAUAUAAAACUGCGGUGAAAGUCAUCCAUCAUCUCGUAUCUUUUUGUUGCCGUUCAACAAACUAACAGAGAGAAAAUCUUAAUCCACUUCUCGUGGGGGAAACUAUCGUCAUUAGUUGCGCUAUGUUUCGUUCCCGACGAUAUCGUCCAAGUUUUUCUACUCAAAUGCAUUUCGGCUCGUCUCGUUUUCACUGUAACGAACUAAUCGAGAUACUAACAAAGUAGUUGGAUUCAACGCGAAGUGUUCUCGGCAUUCUCUGUGCUGAUGAGAAAUAAGCUUAAACAAAAAGAUAAAAAAAUUGAUAAAGAAAUUAAAUUUAUUUACUUGAUGAUUACAUGCAAAAUACAGUUUCAUUAUCUAACUAUGUUAAGGAAGGCAAUAAUAUAGAAAAUCCAGUUCGAUAUUCCCAAAUAGUAAUGUUGAAUAUUUAUCAAGAUAAUAUGAGAUAUUGCUUUCUUCAGAAAAACGGAUACAAUGAAAAAGUAAGGAAAUCUAUUGCAAACAACUUGGAGAUCAUUAUUCACUAGAUGCGUGUCAAUUCGAAAUUCUCGGAGUUGGUUUAUUCGGCCAUGAUUCGUGGCAUUCCACGGGCAUCCUCUCGUUCUCCAACGAGCUUACUUGUACGUUAAUUGCCGCGAGGGUUUGGGGUGACGCACAAUAACGAGGGCGUUCCUAAAUUUCGGCAUACAGGUAGCGAAGUGAAUUGAGGAGCAACCAGAACCUGGACCUCAUCUUCCUUCUGCUGCUUCCUCCCAGCGCUUCUUUCUCUCCAUCAUUUUAGUGCAUACAAUCACGAACACGUACGCAGAGACGUGAGGGGAAGCAGGGAGAGGGAGGGAGGAGAGAGAGAGAAAGAGGGAACAGACUGCUGUGCCUAGUGGCACAUUGUUGGCUUAACUGCUCGCGGAAAAUUGGGUGGGCAAAGCUUUGACAGGUUGUUUGGUAAACAGGCUCAUGCGUUUACGUACAAACUGUAGGCAGCAGACGCUGCAUCCCCGCUUGUGAUUCGUCAAUGCUCCCUUUCAGUAUGUGUUUCCAUAGAAAAUAGCCUAUCGCAAAGUGGUGUCACUGUCUGCGGCACGACAACUGCAAUUGUAUUCCAUUAGGACUUUCGGACGGAUACUCGAGAUUUCGGUGAUGCAAGAGGUUCAGGAAUGAGUGUCUAAGUUUGACUUAACGUGUCAGAGACAUCUAUUGCGUAUACGUAUAUAUACCUACGAGAUAUCUUUUAUUCACGCACAAUGUUACCGCCACUUUUGUCAUCCGCAAGUUUGGAGAAAUCAAGGAAAAUGGUAUUUGUUACCACUCACGUAACUCUGUGCGCGCGUAGUUGGAACGUUGCCACGAGCACGGUGGCCGGGGGAUGAAAUUUUUGGAACAAUGGAAUUGUCGAUAAGGUGACCGGGCGGAAAUUGUGGCGGGAGGCGGUCAAGACGAAGGCGACGGACCUGCGAGAACAAGUCGAAGAGAGUUGAUGGGCAAAAAGAAGCGGGAAGAGAAGGCCUGCGGUCGUGCCUAGCCAUUUUAAGGACUCCCUUCUUCGUCCUCCUCCUUCUCUCACUUACGACAGAAUUGACCGUUUCUAUUUUACGGCCCCUUUGUUCUCAUUUAAUUCUUAUCCCGGGCUUAUUGCGUUCUGGCGGUGCCGCCGUUGCGGCGUACUUUAAUGGAAAUCCAUUUACGAUCGGCGAUCGAUGUUACCGCGCGCGCAGCACCAGCGGAUGUCACGUGCGAGGGGUGGCAAAGGCCUCGCUAAAACAGAACCGAUGAACCGGAAGAGAACGCGGUAGACACGAAUUUACAGUACGAAUUUAUUAAACGUGACGGCUACCGGGAUUUUUUAUUAAAGGGCAAAUAUAGCGGCUCGUCCGAAAAAUAUAAUUUGGCGUAUAGUUCGCGAAUAGUUCGCGAAUAGUUCGCAAAUUUUUUUAUCCAUUUCUGUCGAUUUUUCAUUGUAUUUUCGUAUCUCACUGCGAACGAAGUGAUAGUCGUCGCACGACACGCGUUACCGGUGAUGGCUUUCCGUCAUUCAAUUAAGCGAGCCUCUGCCUAUUGGCGCCGUGAACGCGGCCGGGCUUUAUUGUUGAAAUUCUGAUCCGUUCAUUGUCGAUUUCCUUUGCAGGGUUUUCGCGUGCUAGCGAUUUUCCGGUGGAAACCCGAACGCGCUUCCGCAAAAUUCCGAUAGAUGUAAAGCGAAGCAGAUAACUUUUAUUUGAGAAACCAUCGAAACCGGAGACCGUGGAAUCUUGAUCCAUCCCGGGACAAUUGUUCUUGCUCGCGGUGCGCGAACGGCAUACGAAAAUCCGUGCGACGCAGUCGCGUUAAUAAAACCUAAUGCAAGUCAAUCGGCGGGGCCGCGCGCGACCCGGAGAUUCUAGUUACCGGUCGAAAUCAAAGUUCAAUUAACUUUUCUGCGGGAACAAUCGGUGGCUGAUGAAGCGAGGGUGCGAGGAUCGCGAUUCGCAAUUCCGAUAGAAACACACACACCGUCCGCCAUUGCAGAAAGCUAUCCGCGCUUGUAUGCACUCGCGGACGCUCCGAUAUCCGCGCGAAUGUAGUCUGUGCGUCUAUGCAUGCGUGUGUAUACACGCGUGCAUGCGCGUGUACACAUUUUCCCUCUCGCUUCUCUCUCGCGGGGCUGCAGAAAAAUACUCGUUGUUUGUUUUUCGCUGUCUGCCGACCGCGAUGCGGAACUCCUCGGGUAUCUCGCUUGGAAAUACGUAAUUCCUGUACUUGAUUAGUUUCCUUUGCGCUAAAGGGAUUUUUAACCCGACCGGGGGCAUUCAGCAAGGAACGCGCGCACGUUAAUCGCAGCGCGCCGCGCGGACUCCGCAUAGGCGGAGGCUUUAAUUCGGCCUCUGCCUUGGUAUAUCGAGCGAUAGUUUUCAGCCCACAACGAAUGCAGUUUGCGGAGGUUUCCAUUAGUUUCCGUACUGAAACAGCAAGCGGAGCUGUGUCCGAUUAGCUCUUACGGGCGAUCAAGAUCCGCCGGUGCAGAUUAACACGCGUGAUUUAUAUUGUUGUGUCGAUCGGUCGGAUAAAAUGGAAUAUCUGAUGCAACUGUUAAAAUACGAAAGUUCGCCUGCUCACCGCCUGCUCCGCACUACGUACGGUUAUCCGAUGCUCAUCUGACGUAUACAUGCGAAUGUAAAAUUUACAUUUACACAAACGCGAUUUAGGAGCACAAGUAGGUCGCGAUUAGCUCUUCCUAAAGCUUCCGACGCGGUAUCUCUCAGACGGCGCGUGUUAGAGAGCUAUUCUCCCAUCAGCUAAAUAAAUAGAAUAAAGGUCUCCAGCUGCGAAUAACUUUAGCACACGCUCCUCCUACAUGUCAUGGCUUGAAUGAAGGGGUGCAUUUCUUUGCAGACGCCAGUGUACAAGCUCCAAAAUUGCGUCAGGUAAGACGUCGCGAAAGUGAGACUUGUCGCCCAGCUCGGUGCGUUAGCACGCGACUAUAAAGUAAAAGUUUAACAAUGAAACACUUCCGUCUCCGUCGGGAUACAUAGUCGCGAUACAGUCGCGCGCGAACACUGAAACUGAGAGGGAUAAUUCAUGCUUGUUCUUUUGUUGCGUUGCUCGAUGACAAACAUGGCGACAUUAAGUUAAGAGGGCUUCUCUCUCGACGGGCAUACGACGGAGAACGUUGUUUCACGGUAAUUACGGGGCGGUUAUGGUCGUUAGAUGAAAUUAAUUAGAAACUACACUUUGGCCCGUUCAGCCGCCCUCCGGAAUCUUCGAUAGGUUGAAUACUUUAACUUUCAAAGUUUUCCGCGGGAAAGCGGUUAAAGCAUACUAACUUUCCUCAUCAGCCACCGAGCGUGGUUUGCAUGUAGGAGGUGAUCAUGUUUUAAAUAUUGACGUCAUUAAUUUGUGGAAAGUACGGGCACUCAUUUCUUUAACCUGAAGUCUUCAGUAACAGGAGUUAGACGAGAUCAUUUUAUCAAAUCUCCUGAGAACAGUGGAGACCGAAAAAAAGGGUGACACUCGGAGAUUUUAUUAAAUUACUUUAACUUAUUAAACAGAAGAAUAAUAAAAAGAUACUGUAUUCUUGUGAAAUGAAUUUUUGAUACGCUUUAAAUCGUCAUAAAAAUGUAUUCCCACAAUCUGUAAUUAAUUUAAAUAAAUGUAUAUGUAUAAAUGUAAAUGUAUAUAAAAAAGAAGCAUUACGGAGCAAACAUGAAAUGUGACAUAUCACGAAUAACAGCUUUUUCCACAGUUAUACAUAUAUCUUUCUGGAGUGCAAGAACUGGUCUCGAAAGAUCUAGGCAGUAGAGCAAAACACGAAGAGACGAGAUGAGGCAGAAGUAAAAAGUCGUAGUGCAAGAGGGAUACAGUCGUUAAAUUCGCGUCAUAAAUUAUGCGAGCGUCGUCCAUUCUCCAAGAUACUUUUCGCGGGGGUAUGCUUUAUGUAAAACACAGUUGCCGGCGUUCACGGACCGUUAUGUCGCGAUUACGCGCUGCUUUUCAGGCAAACAAUGCGUACUCGUCUAACGUGUUACGAUGCGAUGCCAGACGAUGCGAAAAAUUUUUCCAUCAAAUACUUCAUAACGACGAGACGCGAAAUUUCUCUCACUGAUAAAUAUAACGCGUUACCUUCGUUGGAAAUAAAAUAAAAGUAUUGAAAUAAUAUUACUGUUACGUUAUAAUAUUUAUCUUUUUAUAUCACUGUCAGAUGAAUCUGUCGCUGGAUGCAUGCCAGGUUGGCGGCAAAUAAAAAUAGUAAAGUUCAAUAGUGACAUAUAUAACAUCAACAAUUACGAGAUAGCAACUGGACGCAGAAGUGAAUUUUGUCGCCACAAAAUCGCUCGUAAAAUCCAUCCGGUCGUUAAAAGAUAAGCCACGUCCGGGAGUCGUGGUCUACGUGACGUUUCAUGGUGGACGAAGGGCGCAUGGAUGAAAUUGGCCCCGUACAAAAAAUCACUACUUUGAUUUUCCACCUACACCUCUACCGCCUGCCGGUCUCGGGUUAUCCGAGGCGGGGCGAUUUGAUCGCGCACGUCACGCACACGAGAGAAGACGGACGUGAGGGAAGGGUGGUGAAACGCAGCGAGGAUUUUGCGUGAGGCCGCGCGCGCUGAUUAAUGAUGCUAUCGACGUAUUCCGUGAGGCGUAGAGAGCAAUCAAUCGAUCCACACUUCCGGCAAGUGUCUAGCUCAGAAGAUACCACUAUCGGGUUCAGGAAAUACUUCACCAGGACACAGGAUAGCGAUUACCGAGAGAGAAAGAGAGAAAGGGAAACCGAGAAGGAGUGGGACGUAUCUCGUCGAGACGUAUCUCGUACGUAGAUACAUGUCGAUUGGUAGAAAUUGUCUCUAAUGCGUGCAUCAGGGAUUAUUUGGGCAGAACGAUUCUACAGCGUGAUAUGCUGAACAAGGCAAACGAGACCGUCUCGUCUCGUACGGAAUUCUUAACUUUUCUGUUACCAAGCGGGUGAAAUAAAAUUACUGCGAAGCAUUUUUUUCCUCCCCGACCGUUUUUUAAUCCCACCGUUGUGAAAUCUUGCACGUUCGCGGCGCGCCAGUUGGUUACGUUAUGCAAUGAAUUUAAGGCGGGAAAGACUCAUUGUAUUCCAUAAUGCUACUUUCGUAUUCGCAUCGCGUCUAUCACCAAGUUCAAGUUGGAAGAAAGAAAGAGAAUGAGAGAGAGAGAAAGAGAAACGUUCUAAAUUUUUUUCUCUGAGAUUUUCUUCUUUGAGAUAUCCCGCGUCAGAUUUAUUUUGACAUGAAUUCUUUUGUUUUCUCGAACGGCUAUUGGAUUUUGCAGUAUGUACGUUUAUAUAUAUGUAUGUAUGCGUGUAUGUGUGUAUGUAUACUAUGUAAACACCCCAAGCGUUAUUCUGAAAUAUUAAGCAUUUUGAAAACGAAGUGAGGGAGAGCAAUAUUGGACAAGAAAAAUAUAUAAUACAUUUAUUAGACCGGAUUUCAGUCAAAAAGAUAAAUACGGUUGUUGCAUAUCUCAUAUGCGUAGCUCAUCCUCUUUCCCAGUUGUAAAAAUGUACAGCCGCGAUAGAGCGGCUGCAGCACGAUUCGCAGAUACGAUACGCGGAUACGGACAUAUCCCUUUAAACGUUAACUAAAGCAGCCGAGUCGAAAAAGAAGUUUUAAGUCCAGGCGCGCUGUUGCUUUUAAAAUAUGGCAUAAAAUAUUCAGACCUGUUCUCUACAGGAACGAGGAGUGCGCUUGACGUUAAAGCCGGACUAUUAAAGGGUACGGGGUCUCUUGGUUAAAAAAGCCGAGACACGCGAGACGAAAUUUCCGAUGCACAUUACAUUGGCGCCGAGGCAGGGAUAACGGCAUCGAGAUGUAACCGUUGCCGCACCGUUGCCGUCCGUGUGUGACAAAUUUGAUAUUUUUCCGCUCUCGUUUAAUCCCCGAGCUACUCGGUGCUUCGACUUUUAUACUAGCUAGGCAGCCAGAUACCGAAAUGCGUCAUGAAUUUAAUAUAUCGUGAACGGUCUCGCGGUGACUUUCCAUGAAUUUCGCGGCGAAACUUAAAGGCACUUUAAUUUAGGAGUUAACUUUAAAGCGCCGAAUACAUUACGCGAAGCGUAUAUUAACAUCGGUGUUGAAUUUCAAGCAACCGCGCUAUUUAUCCGGCAACGCAGAACUUUGCGUGCGAUGUGUGUUUCGUGCUUUAAAUUCAAUUCGCGAUGCAAAGCGCGAGCGCGGCCGCGCUUAAACCCUUAAAUCUCGCCGAUGCAUAAUAUUUAGACGUGAUGUUGCUGCUGCUAGUGGUGGUGGUAACUUUGACCGAAGUAAAAAGAUCGGUCUUGUGCCUCCAUCGUGCCGCACGGAAUGUCUCUCUCGCAAGAAACGGAAUAUUACUGGCUAAGGUUACGAUCGCGAUGCUAAGGCUAAGGUUUUAGGUCGUCGGUCUCGGUUCUCGUAGCUCCGGAAAACAUCCCCGCGAUAUAAAAAGCAGCGUUCACCCAGGGCGCAAGAAAUACGAGCGCAGGGAUGCACCGUGAGUUUUAUACCGUCCCGUUCACCGGAAUCGUCGCUUUUCGGUUAACCGCGAACUCGAAACCAUAUCCCUCCUGAUUCCUCUACAACAAGUCUCACUUAUUCGGUCCACUUUCGUCCAUCAGGCAACGUCGUGGAACUUUUUCUUCUAACCGACGACCCUCAUCCGCUCGUGUGCGAGCGCGCGAGCACAUGAAUGCAACGUGAGACACGCAAGGAAAUGCAGCAACCUCGAAGAGCUUUCGGUCCAGACCGCGUUGCACCCUGUAUCAGGAAUUCCUUUCUCGGUAACAUGAGAAUGUCCGAGAGGAGACACGUCUCUCUCAACACGUGCUCUGUUUCUACCGUAUGCGUAUUACUAUAUAAGAGCUUUAGUGCAUCAUUAAAAUUAAACACUUUGAUAUUUCGUUGACGAUGUCGAUGAACUAUCAGAUAAGCUCGUAUAUUAGAAAUUAUAAAUUUUUAAGUGAUUUUCUUAUGUCUGAUUAAUGUAAUUAGCUUUUAAGUAUAUACAUCGAGAUUUGUUUCGGAUAUCAACAUUCGCGAUUCAAAACUGUUCUUUUUAUCAUCGCGUCAUCAGAAGCGCGACUGACGCAGCAAAGUUGUUUGCGGUGAUCUUUGAGAUGAACUAUGUCGAAGAAAUAUCGCGAUUACGCAUUACCGUACCAUCCGCGCCGGUUGAUGAAUAAUUAGAACAGUGGCUACGAGCUGCGCGGUGUUGUGGCUGCUAUCCCAGAACUUUGUAAUUGAUUUCGGACGCCUCGUCUGCGUUUGGUGUGACAAAUCAAAAUCACCGUUUCCGCGGUGCGCGAUAAUAAAGUUAUUACGUCUCUAGACGGUUGUCCCGCGAAGAGAGAUGGCUCGCCGUCGCGACGCUGCGGGUGCAGUUUGUAAUUUUGAAUUCGAGAUCAGAGUUCAGCUUAUUUACUUUAACUACUCGCUAGUUACGGAUUCCAUUUUCCUGCCGAAAGACGAAAAUUAAAUUAAAAGCUUUGUGGCUCCUUCUGCUCUUAUCGUGUUUUUCACUUUUUUCCGCAAUUAACUCGAAGUGCAAUAUAAGGAUUAUAUAUUUCCUCCUGAAAGCACUUUAAUCUGAAAAUUUCGGAUAGAUCUGAGAUUUUCCCAUUGUUUGAACACGAACAGGAAAUCAACAAGCCGGCAGGCAUUAAAUAUUUGUAGCAUAUUCGGAAGUACCUUUAUUAUUUUCUUUCAAGUCACUCCUUUUAUUGCGGUAGUCCUGUCAAACAGCAGUAAACGUUCACCGCACACAAAGGACCGUACAAUUUUCUCGUGUCACACGUUAAGUGCCAUUAAACCAAGUGGCUGCGACACAUUUCGUGUUCGACCCUGCAGAUUCGAGAUAAGGUAAAUUACAAGGGACAAGGGUCGCGUAGAUUAGAUUGCAUCUAUGUAUCAGAAUUGUAUCGUUUUUCAAAAAAUCCUCUAAUUCAUCGCGCCGCGCGCUAUAUCGUCUUAUUUUUAUUUAAUCAAAUCAAAUUAUUAAAGUGUUUUAACACGAUGGAUAAUUCAUCUUAAAUAUUCGCUAUUAUAGACCGCAAUAAAAUAUCCUCGCCAAGAGCAUGGAUAUGCGGAUAAGACCCGUGGAGUAUUACGACCUACGACCUCACAAGAAUCCCCAGUGGUACGUGUGCAUUCGAAACAGACACGCACAGUCUCGACACACGAGAGCGUUAUGCACACAUCCUUCAUGUAGGCACACGCAUGUAGGACACGUGCAUAGGAUAUAUCCGCAUAUACCGGUGCCUCGGGUAAUGGCAUAUAAUUAGGAACAGCUUGGCCUUACGUUCUAGGCCUACAAUUUUCGUUAGUGUGUGCCUUACGUCCCGCGUAUAUUCACGAUACACAUGUUUGAUCGCGCGGGUGUGUUGCAUCGUAGUGUAUGUAUCCCUGCAUGAAUACGCGGACGUAGUAUCCGCUGAAAACACUUUCGAGGUAUUCAUAGCACGAACUUGGCCCUGCGUGUGGCCCUGUGUUGUUAGCCUGACCGCUUAAUUGCAGAAAAUGUACGAUUAGAAAGAAAAGGAAAUAAGUUAAUCUCGGGAAUAGAAAUUCCCUUCGAGCAGUUUUACUGAAACGAAUGCGCGCUGAUUAAAUUCUCUUCUGAUAUAGAAAGUGCACGCGCGUAUACGCACACACAUAUAGAGUAAUAAUUAUUAUAAUAUUAUGGAAAUAUAUGCAGCAUUUAAUGCAAAAUUAAUAAUGCAAAAGUCAUUCUUCAGUAAAUAUCGAUUAAAAAUGGACAUGGAUGGUAUGUUUCGAUAUAUUUGUUCACGCAAAAAUCUUAAAUAUACUUUCGAACCAGAGAAUGAGGACUUUGCUGAACUUUAUGCAGGAUUAAGUGAAAAAAAGGAACCAACAAAAGCUUCGUGAUUUUAUCAUGUCACAACGAAAAGCCUUACAAGGCCGAAAAUUAGGACAAAAGAUAACUUUCGUCCACGGUAUCGACAAUACGCGUGCUCCUUUUCUGAUUAUUAUUAAUGAGCUCAUCUCGAAAAUUAAUGGUAGCGCCGUGCUUACAACGAACGUCGGACGAGGACGAAAGGGCGGCCUUGAACGAGAACUGCCAGGCGUAUAUCAAGUAUAUAUGGAAGUGAUGAUGCAAAAAGGCGCUAACGAAGCAUGACGCCGUGAACUGAGUGUUCCACCUCAAGGACGCCUUUCAUACUUGGUACGUUGCUAUAUUGGGAUAUAAUAAGCGCACAUAAAAUCGAAUGAUAUAUAUCAAAUCGAUGACUCGCUGACGAGGACAGAUGCAUAUCUUGUUAUCGUAUUAUAUCUUUAAUACCGUUAUUGAUCAGCAGUGUCACUGGAAAAUAUUCGUAUGAGAUAUGAUAUAAAUAAUAUAUAUACGAAUUUUUAAAAGUUAAUGAAAGAUUCAGGGUGUAUAUAUAUAUUUUGACAACGAGAGUAACUGAAUAACAAUUGCGAGAUGUUUGUGCAUCGAUUCUUCUCGCAAUAUGUUUGUGGAACCGAAGAAGAUUUGACUUUUUAUGUCUUUUUAGCGUAAAUUAUAGUUGCUAUUUAUUUUAUAAAAUACGGAAGAUAUCCUUUGAUGACCGUAAGUAAAGAUACCAUGUUACAAUAAUUAUGAGAGAAGCAUAAUUCCUUUCAGGUAUUAAAGUAUUUCACCGUAUCCGCUAUUUGCAAUGGCCAUAAAUAAUAACCGCUCGGAACAGUAAAUCGUUUAUGACAAAGUACACGCGGAGCGAAAAUUUCCCAGCAGCCUGCUAAAAUUACGCUCGAGGGCCUCGAGCGGUUUUUCCACGAGUCGUAGGUGAGACGUUUUCCUCGCAUUUUCCCCGCGCUACGCGCAGACAAAUCUAGCCGCAGUAUCGCGUGCAAGUGUACGCUAGCGUAGCUUCCUCUCUUCGUGUGUACACCAGUAGGACCGUGACAACUCCAUCUCAUACACGUCAUUUCAAUUUGUCCUUGGGAUGGUUCUGACAAAUAUUGCAGGUGCUCUCUCGCCCCACGUCUGCCUUUCGUCCUUUCUCUCUUCCUCUCUCUGUCUCUCUCUCUCUUCCUUUUGCCGCCCGUCUCGUGUCCUGAUGCCUCUCGUCCGAGCGAAAUUGCUCGGGAAAAAGGCAGGGAAACGGAGGAGCCGUGCGUACCGAGUCCGGAAGACGUUCUUAUUGUUUUAAGGCGGACAGGUUUAUUUACUGCCCGAAUAACCACGUAGAGAGCCCGACCCGGCCGUUCGUCCCACCACGCGGUAUUAAAUUGUGCGCCGCUGAAACUGACGUGGCACCAUGCAUUUCUUUCUCGCGAUGUUGUUAUCCCGGGAUUUUACGUCAGUCGUGAUUCACUUCGACGAAGAGUAGGUGCCCGACAAUAGCGUCGUGCGUGUAAGGACGACGCGAUGGAAUCGUUUUUGCAUUUCGGAAGAUGAGCAGUCACAACACUCUGGAAAUAUGAGUUUAUGACUGAACGGUACCAGCUCAAUGGGAAAGAUGCUUCGCGAUGUCAUCUGUCCCGAAACUAACACGAGCGAGAUAAAAGAAAUGUGCUAUGGAGAACACGCCGGAAUUCUUUCAGUCCGUCCACUCGUCGCGGUCGCGUCUCGCUGAGAAACUUUCUUAUUUAUGAAAUACUCGACGCGCUGAAAAUUACGGUGCCUCCAGCAGGAGCUCGCGAUCUCGCGAGCGCGACAACGUUGUUUUCUAUCGUGAAUUCCCACCCUCGAAUCGCCCUCCGAAUUCUCGCGCGACGAGUUAGCUGACGCGAAAUCUCUUUUCUACGCGAAAGCGUGGAAAGCAGCCCGUGGAAAAUAAAAUAUUAUCAGGCUUUUUGAGGGGGAAAAGCGUGCCAGGCCAGGGGAAUUGUGUUCUUGCUAUUGAACUGCGUCAAAGCUGCCGCCUCCACCGUCGAUCGUUCUUACGCGAGAGCACGAUGCCUGAUGGAUCCAGCUCCGCUCGAGAUGGCAGAGGGAGGAGGGGGAGGAAUCUCGUUAGGGAAAAAAAUAUCUCUAAGUCGCGCCAAAGGAGCGAAUUACCGGCGCGAAAGAAAACCCGGGGGACAAUGAGGCUGUCAUCGGUACUAACUGCGAAGAUAAAGACUGACGCUAUCUGGGCCAGAAUCAUUAGGAAUUGCCUUUUGUCACUGGCCCCGCGUUAUAUAGCGAACCGUUUCAAGCAAGCAAGCAAGCGCGCGGCCAGCUUCUCUCACGCUCAUACUUCUCAAGCUCCAAUUAUACGCUGCUCAAAAGACGGAAAAACUUGAAAUCUCCAUUGAAGCGUGACCGCUUUUCCUCCUCUGUCUCUCUCUUUCUUUUCGUCGUUUCGAUACGCUUUUUAUGUCCUUAGUUUUCUCUCGCUUCAUCUCGCGCUUUCGAUUGUGUCCCGUAGCGUCUCCAGGGAUGUCACCCUACCAGCUCGUUUUCUCUCGUUCUCUCCUUCCACCUCUUCUAUCCAUCCUGUUUCACCCUCCACCUAUAAGCGUUUCGACUCAAACCGCUCGGCAUCCAGGCAAGCAAGCAAGGCAUCUCAAAUGAAGGUUUUUUCCGUUAUUUCUUUUCCGUCACGCGGAUUGCUUCUGGUCUCCUUCUUUUCGCUCUUUCCGGCUUCUUUUUCGUUUCCUUUUGCGUCUUUACGUCACUAUCGUAGUUAUCCGUCACUGUAUAAGCUUCGACUUGUAAUUCUCCCCAUUUUUUGUGUUUUGCUGCAUGACAACGUCGCGAGAAAAAGACGCUGCUCGCGUACUUUUAGAAAAGCCCUGCGUUCUUCGUAUCCGGUUUCUUUGCGCGAAACUUGAGUAAUUAAAUUCAUCAGCUCUUUUAUCUUCUCGCUGAAUUCACUUUAACGAAAAUCCUUCGCUGCUGGUUUUAUGCUAAUAGAGAUUUUUUUUUAACACGCCACUUUUUUAUAAACAGGUACAAAUUUAGUCCAUCAACAAAUUUCUCAAUAAAUCGCCAGUAAAUCGUCGACCAAUAAAACCAUCAAAUGAAAGCGUGUAUCGAUUUAUACAUUUUUUAACUGCACUGACAACGAUCACUGGGUUAUACGCGCUCCCGUAAAAGCAGGUAUUACCACUUCAUAACUCGUGAGCCCAAAAUACGUACACGGCCAGCCAUGAAAACUCCGUAAUUUUACAGAAACGCGUAUAAUCCGCGUAACGAGAAGAGAGGAAAUCGGUGGAAGUAUGUAUAAUCUAUAACAUCUCUCUUUGCAUGAUGCGACUGUCUCACGAGCAACCCCGCGGCACCGAUACGUCGACCGGGGGCCAAUGAAUUUUAUCACUGCCCAUAUUUAUCGGCGAGGUGGAAGCAGCGACGGGGACGAAGUCGCAAACUGCACCGACUCCGAGAUAAACCCCCGGGGGCCCGUCGUAUUCUCCUAUGUCAAAUCUCGGCGCUGCUACGACCGUCGUAAAGUCUCGUAAAGCCCCGCUGGGCCGCCGUAACCGUUUGACGUUUCGCGUUUUACGCCGCGGACCUGCACUACCUACGCUCCGCAUAUUUAAGCACGUCUACGUCUUUCGGACCAUUUAUAACGCUCUGCGGACUCCAUUCUCGUCGACAAUCGAUCCCGCGCUAUCCUCCCCCGUAAACGACCGCUUCCGGCCGCCCCGUCAUCGAGCUCCGUCAGUAAUCCGCGAUGUUCGGAGUAAUAAUUAGCAGUGAUCACGUUCUUAUACUCCGCCUAUACCCGCUGUUGACUGAGAAUUGUCUCGUUACUCGUCAUCUGAUUUGGAAUUUGAUGUGCAAUUUCUGCGCGCACCUCACCGUUUCUCCGAGUAACUGCGCGAUUUUUAGAACGUUGCCGCAACUCGUUAGUCCAGAGUGCAGAGAGAAAAAUUCCGGGGGAAAUAAUAAAUCAAAAAAUGUAGAUACGUGUGCAGCUUACGGAUAUGACUGCUCCUGAGAGCUCCCAUAACCAAGUAAAAAAUUGACUAUUAAUAUCAGAUUUUUAUGUGCAAUUUAGGUCGAGUGUCUCAUCUCGCGUUCGAGAUUUUAAGAAAAACUUAAGCCACGGCACACACACAUAGGUGUCCUUGCGAGCGAGACCGUUGAUUACGAGUAAUAGAAUGUCACGCCAAUGCUAGUUACCUUGUUCUUGAGAUCAUAUAACGAAUGCACUUUAUCGCUUUGAUGAGCUGCAUUCUGGGACGCAGCGUCGCGACUUUGUAACGAGAGCACGACUUCAAUUUUAAAUGAGGUGGAAUCAAGUGCACUUUAUCGAUGGUAACUGAAACUAUUUCAGGCUCGGUGUCUGCCGUGCUAGCGUCAAGACUACUAAUCGAAGUGGAGGGAUCGACGUUUCCAAGCCCGAGGCGCAUUCCCAUCGUUGCACGCGUCCAAGGCCUGUUAUUAUGCGAACUUCGAAGCACCACCGUAUCAUAAUCGCUCGCGGAUAGGUUUUCUGCGACAUUACGCGGGGCGUUGCUGAAAGUGAUCGAGCGCGAAGCGAAUGACAAACGAUUUGAGUGAUAACAGUUCUCACGCACAAAUGAAUUCGUGAGUCAUCUGUAUUUCACUGGCAUAUAUGCAAUUUGUUCUACCUGUCAUUUUCGAUUUUCGUGUAACACGAAGAUGAAUGCGAGCAAAUGAAUGUGAGAUUUUAUUGAGGCUGCAGAAAGCUGAACUUAACAAAACAAAA